AUUGAACGCUGGCGGCAGGCCUAACACAUGCAAGUCGAGCGGAUGAAGGGAGCUUGCUCCUGGAUUCAGCGGCGCACGCGUGAGUAAUGCCUAGGAAUCUGCCUGGUAGUGGGGGAUAACGUCCGGAAACGGGCGCUAAUACCGCAUACGUCCUGCGGGAGAAAGUGGGGGAUCUUCGGACCUCACGCUCUCAGAUGAGUCUAGGUCGGAUUAGCUAGUUGGUGGGGUAAAGGCCUACUAAGGCGGCGAUCCGUAACUGGACUGCGAGGAUGAUCAGUCACACGGGAGCUUGGACACGGUCCAGAGUCCUACGGGAGGGAGCAGUGGGGAAUAUUGGACAAUAGGCGAAAGCCUGAUCCAGCCGUGCCGCGUGUGUUAAGAAGGUCUUCGGAUUGUAAAGCACUUUAAGUUGUGAGGAAGGGCAGUAAGUUAAUACCUUGCUGUUUUGACGUUACCAACAGAAUAAGCACCGGCUAACUUCGUG
rnacentral:rRNA from 1 species